UACGUAGGGGGGCAAGCGUUGUCCGGAAUCAUUGGGCGUAAAGCGCGUGUAGGCGGCUUGGUAAGUCCGCUCUGAAAGCCCGGGGCUCAACCCCGGGAGGCGGUGGAUACUGUCGGGCUUGAGUACGGAAGAGGCGAGUGGAAUUCCUGGUGUAGCGGUGAAAUGCGCAGAUAUCAGGAGGAACACCAAUUGCGAAGGCAGCUUACUACGGAUAUAUUGACACUGAGGCACGAAAGCGUGGGGAUCAAACAGG
rnacentral:rRNA from 1 species